rfam:Myotis lucifugus cont2.45566, whole genome shotgun sequence.
GCUGGUGUGGCUCAGUGGAUAGAGCACUGGACUGUGGACCUAAGGGUCCCAGGUUCGAUUCCGGUCAAGGGCA